GAGGUGUUAGUCUAAGUAAGACAGCUGAUUUCGACUCAGCCAACCAUGGUUUAAACCCAUGACCCCUCU
rnacentral:tRNA from 1 species